ensembl:miRNA
AGGUGGGAGGAUUGCUUGAGCCAGGGAGAUGGAGGUUGCAGUGAGCUGAGAUCACACCACUGCAGUCCAGCCUGGGUGAAAGAGUUAGACCCUGUCUC